GAUGAACGCUGGCGGCGUGCUUAUACCUUCCAGUUCAGCCGACAGACGAGGAGCUUGCUCCUCUGACGUUAGCGGGGGGCGGGUGAGUAACACGUGGUUAACCUACCUAUAAGACUGGGAUAACUUCGGGAAACCGGAGCCAAAACCGGAUAAUAUAUUAAACCGCGUGGUUCAAUAGCGAAGGACGGUUUUAGUGGCCCAUAUUAGAUGAUCCACGCCGCAUUAGAUAGUUGGUAAGGUAACGGCCUACCAAGGCAACGAUACGUAGCCGACCUGAGAGGGUGAUCGGCCACACUGGAACUGAGACACGGUCCAGACUCCUACGGGAGGCAGCAGUAGGGAAUCUUCCGCAAUGGGCGAAAGCCUGACGGAGCAAUGCCGCGUGAGUGAUGAAGGUCUUCGGAUCGUAAAACUCUGUUAUUAGGGAAGAACAAAUGUGUAAGUAACUAUGCACGUCUUGACGGUACCUAAUCAGAAAGCCACGGCUAACUACGUG
rnacentral:rRNA from 1 species